GUGGUUAGAGUGUAGAGGCGACAGGGUAGCCUAGUGGUUAGAGUGUAGAGGCGGCAGGGUAGCCUAGUGGUUAGAGUGUAGAGGCGGCAGGGUAGCCUAGUGGUUAGAGUGUAGAGGCGGCAGGGUAGCCUAGUGGUUAGAGUGUAGAGGCGGCAGGGUAGCCUAGUGGUUAGAGUGUAGAGGCGGCAGGGUAGCCUAGUGGUUAGAGUGUAGAGGCGGCAGGGUAGCCUAGUGGUUAGAGUGUAGAGGCGGCAGGGUAGCCUAGUGGUUAGAGUGUAGAGGCGGCAGGGUAGCCUAGUGGUUAGAGUGUAGAGGCGGCAGGGUAGCCUAGUGGUUAGAGUGUAGAGGGGGCAGGGUAGCCUAGUGGUUAGAGUGUAGAGGCGGCAGGGUAGCCUAGUGGUUAGAGUGUAGAGGCGGCAGGGUAGCCUAGUGGUUAGAGUGUAGAGGCGGCAGGGUAGCCUAGUGGUUAGAGUGUAGAGGCGGCAGGGUAGCCUAGUGGUUAGAGUGUAGAGGCGGCAGGGUAGCCUAGUGGUUAGAGUGUAGAGGCGGCAGGGUAGCCUAGUGGUUAGAGUGUAGAGGCGGCAGGGUAGCCUAGUGGUUAGAGUGUAGAGGCGGCAGGGUAGCCUAGUGGUUAGAGUGUAGAGGCGGCAGGGUAGCCUAGUGGUUAGAGUGUAGAGGCGACAGGGUAGCCUAGUGGUUAGAGUGUAGAGGCGACAGGGUAGCCUAGUGGUUAGA